rnacentral:rRNA from 1 species
CCAAUAGCGUAUAUUAAAGUUGUUGCAGUUAAAAAGCUCGUAGUUGAACUUCGGGGUUUACUCAUUGGUCAGGCUUAAUUGUCUGUACUGGUGAGAUGAAUCUCUACCUUCUGAGGAACUUUCAUGCCAUUUAUUUGGUGUGAUGGGAAAUCAGGACUGUUACUUUGAAAAAAUUAGAGUGUUUAAAGCAGGCUAACGUCUGAAUACAUUAGCAUGGAAUAAUGAAAUAGGACGGAUUGAUUCUAUUUCGUUGGUUUCUAGGAUCACCGUAAUGAUUAAUAUGGAUAGUUGGGGGCAUUAGUAUUCAAUUGUCAGAGGUGAAAUUCUUGGAUUUAUUGAAGACUAACUACUGCGAAAGCAUUUGCCAAGGAUGUUUUCAUUAAUCAAGAACGAAAGUUAGGGGAUCGAAGACGAUCAGAUACCGUCGUAGUCUUAACCAUAAACUAUGCCGACUAGGGAUCGGACGAAGUUAAUUUUAUAAUGACGCGUUCGGCACCUUACG